rnacentral:rRNA from 1 species
UUAAGCGACCAAGCGUACACGGUGGAUGCCCUGGCAGUCAGAGGCGAUGAAGGACGUGCUAAUCUGCGAAAAGCGCCGGUAAGGUGAUAUGAACCGUUAUAACCGGCGAUGUCCGAAUGGGGAAACCCAGUGUGAUUCGUCACACUAUCAUUAACUGAAUCCAUAGGUUAAUGAGGCGAACCGGGGGAACUGAAACAUCUAAGUACCCCGAGGAAAAGAAAUCAACCGAGAUUCCCCCAGUAGCGGCGAGCGAACGGGGAGGAGCCCAGAGCCUGAAUCAGCAUGUGUGUUAGUGGAAGCGUCUGGAAAGGCGCGCGAUACAGGGUGACAGCCCCGUACACAAAAGCGCAUGUGCUGUGAGCUCGAUGAGUAGGGCGGGACACGUGGUAUCCUGUCUGAAUAUGGGGGGACCAUCCUCCAAGGCUAAAUACUCCUGACUGACCGAUAGUGAACCAGUACCGUGAGGGAAAGGCGAAAAGAACCCCGGCGAGGGGAGUGAAAAAGAACCUGAAACCGUGUACGUACAAGCAGUGGGAGCACAGGUUUACCUGUGUGACUGCGUACCUUUUGUAUAAUGGGUCAGCGACUUAUAUUCUGUAGCAAGGUUAACCGAAUAGGGGAGCCGGAGGGAAACCGAGUCUUAACCGGGCGUUAAGUUGCAGGGUAUAGACCCGAAACCCGGUGAUCUAGCCAUGGGCAGGUUGAAGGUUGGGUAACACUAACUGGAGGACCGAACCGACUAAUGUUGAAAAAUUAGCGGAUGACCUGUGGCUGGGGGUGAAAGGCCAAUCAAACCGGGAGAUAGCUGGUUCUCCCCGAAAGCUAUUUAGGUAGCGCCUCGUGAAUUCAUCUCCGGGGGUAGAGCACUGUUUCGGCCAGGGGGCCAUCCCGGCUUACCAAUCCGAUGCAAACUGCGAAUACCGGAGAAUGUUAUCACGGGAGACACACGGCGGGUGCUAACGUCCGUCGUGAAGAGGGAAACAACCCAGACCGCCAGCUAAGGUCCCAAAGUCAUGGUUAAGUGGGAAACGAUGUGGGAAGGCCCAGACAGCCAGGAUGUUGGCUUAGAAGCAGCCAUCAUUUAAAGAAAGCGUAAUAGCUCACUGGUCGAGUCGGCCUGCGCGGAAGAUGUAACGGGGCUAAACCAUGCACCGAAGCUGCGGCAGCGAACGUAUCACUUAAAGCGAUUCAGCGGAUGACGAUUGACGGAGCGAAGCGACGUCAAAGCGUUUUACAAAGUCGAGUCGGUUUAAGGAUACGUUCGUUGGGUAGGGGAGCGUUCUGUAAGCCUGCGAAGGUGGCCUGUGAGGGUUGCUGGAGGUAUCAGAAGUGCGAAUGCUGACAUAAGUAACGAUAAUGCGGGUGAAAAACCCGCACGCCGGAAGACCAAGGGUUCCUGUCCAACGUUAAUCGGGGCAGGGUGAGUCGACCCCUAAGGCGAGGCCGAAAGGCGUAGUCGAUGGGAAACAGGUUAAUAUUCCUGUACCUGGUGUUACUGCGAAGGGGGGACGGAGAAGGCUAUGUUGGCCGGGCGACGGUUGUCCCGGUUUAAGCGUGCAGGCUGGUUUUCCAGGCAAAUCCGGAAAAUCAAGGCUGAGGCGUGACGACGAGGCACUACGGUGCUGAAGCAACAAAUGCCCUGCUUCCAGGAAAAGCCUCUAAGCCUCAGGUAACAUCAGAUCGUACCCGAAACCGACACAGGUGGUCAGGUAGAGAAUACCAAGGCGCUUGAGAGAACCCGGGUGAAGGAACUAGGCAAAAUGGUGCCGUAACUUCGGGAGAAGGCACGCUGACACGUAGGUGAAGUGAUUUACUCAUGGAGCUGAAGUCAGUCGAAGAUACCAGCUGGCUGCAACUGUUUAUUAAAAACACAGCACUGUGCAAACACGAAAGUGGACGUAUACGGUGUGACGCCUGCCCGGUGCCGGAAGGUUAAUUGAUGGGGUCAGCGCAAGCGAAGCUCCUGAUCGAAGCCCCGGUAAACGGCGGCCGUAACUAUAACGGUCCUAAGGUAGCGAAAUUCCUUGUCGGGUAAGUUCCGACCUGCACGAAUGGCGUAAUGAUGGCCAGGCUGUCUCCACCCGGGACUCAGUGAAAUUGAACUCGCUGUGAAGAUGCAGUGUACCCGCGGCAAGACGGAAAGACCCCGUGAACCUUUACUAUAGCUUGACACUGAACACUGGUCCUUGAUGUGCAGGAUAGGUGGGAGGCUUUGAAGUGUGGACGCCAGUCUGCAUGGAGCCGUCCUUGAAAUACCACCCUUUAAUGGCUGGUGUUCUAACGUAGACCCGUGAACCGGGUUGCGGACAGUGUCUGGUGGGUAGUUUGACUGGGGCGGUCUCCUCCUAAAGCGUAACGGAGGAGCACGAAGGUUGGCUAAUCCUGGUCGGACAUCAGGAGGUUAGUGCAAUGGCAUAAGCCAGCUUGACUGCGAGCGUGACGGCGCGAGCAGGUGCGAAAGCAGGUCAUAGUGAUCCGGUGGUUCUGAAUGGAAGGGCCAUCGCUCAACGGAUAAAAGGUACUCCGGGGAUAACAGGCUGAUACCGCCCAAGAGUUCAUAUCGACGGCGGUGUUUGGCACCUCGAUGUCGGCUCAUCACAUCCUGGGGCUGAAGUAGGUCCCAAGGGUAUGGCUGUUCGCCAUUUAAAGUGGUACGCGAGCUGGGUUUAGAACGUCGUGAGACAGUUCGGUCCCUAUCUGCCGUGGGCGCUGGAGAACUGAGGGGGGCUGCUCCUAGUACGAGAGGACCGGAGUGGACGCAUCACUGGUGUUCGGGUUGUCAUGCCAAUGGCACUGCCCGGUAGCUAAAUGCGGAAGAGAUAAGUGCUGAAAGCAUCUAAGCACGAAACUUGCCCCGAGAUGAGUUCUCCCUGAGACUUUAGUCUCCUGAAGGAACGUUGAAGACGACGACGUUGAUAGGCCGGGUGUGUAAGCGCAGCGAUGCGUUGAGCUAACCGGUACUAAUGAACCGUGAGGCUUAACCUU